GGCUGGAUAUAAAAGGCCUUUUUUUUAUAUACAAUAUACAGAGAGGAUUAGCAUGGCCCCUGUGUAAGGAUGACUCAUAGCUCUGUAAAGUGUUCCAUAUCUUU